rnacentral:rRNA from 1 species
AUGCCAUCAGAGGUUGGCAAAUCCCCAACAAAAACUUUCAAAUUUUUUAUUGUUCGUGCUUGGGCUAGCAUUUCUGGAUGGUCUCACCGUCCAAUUUCCAGAGCUGGAAAAGAAGCCUUGCUAAAGUCCAUUAUCCAGGCUAUCCCGACAUACAUUAUGAGUUGUUUCCAACUGCCAAUUGAUAUUUGUGAGAAAUUCCGUCAAAUAAUUGCUGAUGAGUGGUGGGGCCGCGAAGAUGGAAAACGAAAAAUGCAUUGGCGCUCGUGGGAGUGGUUGACUACACCCAAGGCUCUUGGAGGUAUGGGCUUUCGUGACAUGGACCUUUUCAAUCUGGUUAUGCUCGCCAAGCAGGGAUGGAGGCUACUGACGAAUCCAUUCUCGCUUUAUGCUCGGGUUUUGAAAGGACGAUAUUUCCCCACUUCUGAUUUCUGGAAUGCAUUAGCGCCAAGGUCUGCGUCUGCUACUUGGCGUGCUAUAUUAGCCGGACGUGAUUUACUCCAGAAGGGAGUCAGGUGGGGCAUUGAUAAUGGUGAAGAUGUUUAUAUUCUCUCAGAUCAUUGGAUCCCUUCGACUCCUCCAAAGUGA